UACGUAGGGGGCGAGCGUUGUCCGGAUUUAUUGGGCGUAAAGGGCUCGUAGGUGGCCAACUAAGUCGGACGUGAAAUCCCUCGGCUUAACCGGGGAACUGCGUCCGAUACUGGUUGGCUUGAGUUUGGGAGAGGGAUGCGGAAUUCCAGGUGUAGCGGUGAAAUGCGUAGAUAUCGGAAGGAACGCCGGUGGCGAAAGCGGCGUGCUGGACCUCUUCUGACGCUGAGGCGCGAAAGCCAGGGGAGCGAACGGG
rnacentral:rRNA from 1 species